rnacentral:rRNA from 1 species
UACGGGGGGGGCGAAGCGUUGUUCGGAAUUACUGGGCGUAAAGGGCUCGUAGGCGGCCAACUAAGUCAGACGUGAAAUCCCCAGGCUCAACCUGGGAACUGCGUCUGAUACUGGAUGGCUUGAAUCCGGGAGAGGGAUGCAGAAUUCCAGGUGUAGCGGUGAAAUGCGUAGAUAUCUGGAGGAACACCGGUGGCGAAGGCGGCAUCCUGGACCGGUAUUGACGCUGAGGCGCGAAAGCCAGGGGGAGCAAACGGG